rnacentral:lncRNA from 10 species
UUCAAAUGUUGCUAGACAUUUCCCAGUUAAAAUGGUAGAAUUAAACCUCUGUAUAAAAUCUCACUCUUCCUAAAUUUGAAUUAAAAAAAAAUUAAACCUGAAAUAAAACACUUAUCAGCCAAAAAAAAAAAAAAAAAAAACCAAAAAAAAACAAAAUGAGCACACCCCAGUGUCAUAAAGUCAAAAGGUGCCUGGGAAAUAAAAUAAAGGAAAAAGAAUCCAGUGUGGCAAGGCUCAGAGCCCUGAGUCAAACACCCUCAGGAAGACAAAACAGUGAAUAAAUAAACAUUCUGAGAGUUUUCAUCAAUAUCACCACAUCUAGAAAAAAACACCUGAGUAGUUAUCCCUAUAUUCUCUUCUUCUGACUAGGGAAGAGAGAAAGCCACAGGCUUGGAGCAACAGCGCAGAAAUGCUUCCUGACCUGACUCACACAACCUUUCACACAGUCCUUGAAGCUGAAAGGAAACCUCCACAGGCCUCCCAGCCCCCAGAACACCCGGGGCCUCCGCCCAGUCACCAGGCAGCUCCACUCACAGGCUACGAGUACCUAUGUACAUACACACAGUAAAUACACAAACACAUAUUCCUCACCCACAUAUCUGUCUAGGAUUUUUUUUUACAUGCAUUCUCCUUAAUCAAAUGACAUGACUAUCAGUCCAAUCCCAGCAUUCGGCUAGGCCCAGGAAGAGAAAAUGAUGUGUUUGAAGCUAACGAAUCAUCCAACUAGGUUCAUUCCUGCAAGUCUAAUCACCACCACCCCAGAGAGUAACAUGGUUACCUUCUUACAGAAAGGAAACAGGGACUGUCCGCAUUUCUGUGAAGAUUGAAAUGAUAUCUUUGGGUAUGAACGACUCUCUUACGAAUAUCCAACAAUCCUCCUACCUCACCCAAACACUUAAGAAGACAGAGUUUGCCUUUGUUUUCUUUGUACACACAGACUGUUUUAGGAUCCUUUGCUCUUUUCUUCUCUGGUGUUAUGAAUUGAUUUGUUUUCCCCAAAAAGAUAAACUGAAGUCCUAACUCUUAGUGCCUGUGAAUGUGACCUAAUUUGGAAACGAGGACUUAGCAGAUGUAAGCUAGUCACAUGAGGUCAUUAGGGUGAGCCCUAAUCCAAUGUGACCGGUGUCCUUAGAAGAAGAAGAGAGAGAGACGCGGGGGAAACACCAUGUGACAGCAAAGGCAGAGAUGGGAGUGAUGCAGCUGCGAGCCAAGGAAUCCAAGGACCCUUGGCCACCCCCACAUGCCAUGAAGAGGCAAGGAAGGGUUCUACGCAGGGUCUAGGAGGGAGCACGGCCCUGCUGAUGCCCUGAUUUCAGACUUCUGGCCUGCAGGACUGUCAGACAAAAAAUUUGUUUCAAGCCACCCAGUUUGUGGUAAUUUGUUACAGCAGCCCUAGUUAAUGAAUAGACCUGGUUUUUUCCUUCUGAAAUGCCUACCAUCUCAUCCACCCUCUCCCCUC